rnacentral:rRNA from 1 species
GACGAACGCUGGCGGCGUGCAUAAUACAUGCAAGUCGAACGAGAGCGACCGGUGCUUGCACUGGUCAAUCUAGUGGCGAACGGGUGGGUAACACGUGGGUAACCUGCCCAUCAGAGGGGGAUAACAUUCGGAAACGGAUGCUAAAACCGCAUAGGUCCUUUAACCGCAUGGUUGAAGGAGGAAAAGAGGCGCAAGCUUCUGCUGAUGGAUGGACCCGCGGUGCAUUAGCUAGUUGGUGAGGUAACGGCUCACCAAGGCCGUGAUGCAUAGCCGACCUGAGAGGGUGAUCGGCCACAUUGGGACUGAGACACGGCCCAAACUCCUACGGGAGGCAGCAGUAGGGAAUCUUCCGCAAUGGACGCAAGUCUGACGGAGCAACGCCGCGUGAGUGAAGAAGGUUUUCGGAUCGUAAAACUCUGUUGUUAGAGAAGAACAAGUGCUAGAGUAACUGUUAGCGCCUUGACGGUAUCUAACCAGAAAGCCACGGCUAACUACGUGCCAGCAGCCGCGGUAAUACGUAGGUGGCAAGCGUUGUCCGGAUUUAUUGGGCGUAAAGCGAGCGCAGGCGGUUCCUUAAGUCUGAUGUGAAAGCCCCCGGCUCAACCGGGGAGGGUCAUUGGAAACUGGGGAACUUGAGUGCAGAAGAGGAGAGUGGAAUUCCAUGUGUAGCGGUGAAAUGCGUAGAUAUAUGGAGGAACACCAGUGGCGAAGGCGACUCUCUGGUCUGUAACUGACGCUGAGGCUCGAAAGCGUGGGUAGCAAACAGG